rnacentral:tRNA from 1 species
GGGGGUGUAGCUCAGCUGGUUAGAGUACCUGCCUGUCACGCAGGAUGCCGUGGGUUCGAGCCCCAUCACUCCCGCAA